CUGGUCUUGACAUGUCGAGAACUUUCCAGAGAUGGAUUGGUGCCUUCGGGAACAUUGAGACAGGUGCUGCAUGGCUGUCGUCAGCUCGUGUCGUGAGAUGUUGGGUUAAGUCCCGUAACGAGCGCAACUCUUGUCCUUAGUUACCAGCACGUCAUGGUGGGCACUCUAAGGAGACUGCCGGUGACAAACCGGAGGAAGGUGGGGAUGACGUCAAGUCAUCAUGCCCCUUAUGUCUUGGGCCUCACGCAUGCUACAAUGGCCGGUACAAAGGGUUGCGAUACUGUGAGGUGGAGCUAAUCCCAAAAAGCCGGUCUCAGUUCGGAUUUGGUCUGCAACUCGACCCCAUGAAGUCGGAGUCGCUAGUAAUCGCAGAUCAGCAACGCUGCGGUGAAUACGUUCCC
rnacentral:rRNA from 1 species